AUUGAACGCUGGCGGAAUGCUUUACACAUGCAAGUCGAACGGCAGCACGGACUUCGGUCUGGUGGCGAGUGGCGAACGGGUGAGUAAUGUAUCGGAACGUGCCCAGUCGUGGGGGAUAACGCAGCGAAAGCUGUGCUAAUACCGCAUACGAACUAUGGAUGAACGCGGGGGAUCGCAAGACCUUGCGCGACUGGAGCGGCCGAUACCAGAUUAGCUAGUUGGUGAGGUAAAGGCUCACCAAGGCGACGAUCUGUAGCUGGUCUGAGGGGACGACCAGCCACACUGGAACUGAGACACGGUCCAGACUCCUACGGGAGGCAGCAGUGGGGAAUUUUGGACAAUGGGCGCAAGCCUGAUCCAGCAAUGCCGCGUGCAGGAUGAAGGCCUUCGGGUUGUAAACUGCUUUUGUACGGAACGAAACGGUCUUUCCUAAUACGAGAGGCUAAUGACGGUACCGUAAGAAUAAGCACCGGCUAACUACGUGCCAGCCGCCGCCGUAA
rnacentral:rRNA from 1 species